rnacentral:rRNA from 1 species
CACGUAGUUAGCCGGGGCUUCUUAGUCAGGUACCGUCUGGCGGCCCUAAGGCCGGUUUUUCUUCCCUGCUGAUAGAGCUUUACGUACCGAAAUACUUCUUCACUCACGCGGCGUCGCUGCAUCAGGGUUUCCCCCAUUGUGCAAUAUUCCCCACUGCUGCCUCCCGUAGGAGUUUGGGCCGUGUCUCAGUCCCAAUGUGGCCGUUCACCCUCUCAGGCCGGCUACUGAUCGUCGCUUUGGUGGGCCGUUACCCCGCCAACUGGCUAAUCAGACGCGGAUCCAUCGUAUACCACCGGAGUUUUUCACACUGUUCCAUGCGGAACCGUGCGCUUAUGCGGUAUUAGCACCUAUUUCUAAGUGUUAUCCCCCUGUAUACGGCAGGUUAUCCACGCGUUACUCACCCGUCCGCCACUAAUCCAUACAUCACUAGGUUUCAAUAUGGAUCCGUUCGACUUGCAUGUGUUAGGCACGCCGCCAGCGUUCAUCCUGAGCCAGGAUCAAACUCU